UCGGGAAUUUUGGGCAAUGGGCGAAAGCCUGACCCAGCAACGCCGCGUGAAGGAUGAAGUAUUUCGGUAUGUAAACUUCGUAAGAAUAGGAAGAAUAAAUGACGGUACUAUUUGUAAGGUCCGGCUAACUACGUGCCAGCAGCCGCGGUAAUACGUAGGGACCAAGCGUUGUUCGGAUUUACUGGGCGUAAAGCGCGUGUAGGCGGGUCGUUAAGUUGGGGGUGAAAUCCCGAGGCUCAACCUCGGAACUGCCUUCAAAACUGGCGACCUGGACCUAAGUAGAGGCAAGUGGAAUUGCGAGUGUAGAGGUGAAAUUCGUAGAUAUUCGCAGGAACACCAGUGGCGAAGGCGACUUGCUGGACUUAUGGUGACGCUGAGACGCGAAAGCGUGGGGAGCAAACAGGAUUAGAUACCCCCGUAGUCCCUGAGCGGGCUGGCAAGGCGCAU
rnacentral:rRNA from 1 species